rnacentral:tRNA from 1 species
GGAGACUGUCCGGUUGGUCGAGGACACUGUCUUGAAAACAGCUGCCCGCAAGGGUCGGGGGUUCGACUCCCUCAGUCUCCG